GAGCUGUGGGAGGAGAGGAGGGAGAGGACAGUGCUGAAAUCGGAGGGGCCAGUAAACACCUGAGCGGCUGGAAUGUGCUCUCUUGGCUGGAGAACAAGCAUGGCAAGCAAGGAGUCCACAGGAACAGAAGUCCCAGGGAGUCCUGGGCAGUUUUUUUGCCAUCUUUAUCCUGUGGAGAAUCACAGCACACAUGCAAAGAUGAUGUGUGAAUUCAUGAGGGACUCCAUGGCAUCUGUGAACAUCUGUGUCAAGGUUUUGCUUUUCCAUGCAACCCUAAAGAGUGGACACAAAAGACAUAUAUUUGCUUGAAAGCCCUCACUCUGUUCCUCUGCUAUUGUGCUCAGUGUCACUUUUGCUGAAGGAAAGUGGCUGAAAUGUCGCUUUAACCAAACAUCUUGAGAUUUUGGAGACAGGUCUGAAACUGAAAAGAGAUUGAUUCUCAUGGGAAAACCGUGUUGUUGGACAAGGAGAUGUAAAUCACAGCUGGCUUACAAAACAAAUCCCAUUUCCACCUGCGAACCAGCGGAGGAGGAGGAGGAGGAGGCUGGGAGUCCAUGCCCUCUGCAGGAGUCAAAAGCUGCAUCCUACUGUGGCCAAGACAUGGCCAGCUGAGUGUGGAGCAUGCCAGAUACACUCACCAGAGGACAGAGUGCCCCGUGCCUGUGCCUCCUCUUGGCUCACUCUUCACUUUCUAUUACAGCUCUUUUUCUGCGCCUUGCCCACUUAAAGCAGUCAUUACUCUUUUUUAAUCUCCUAACAAUAGAGAAAAUUUCACCUUCUGCAUUUUAUAUGGCUCUGUCAGUACCCUCUAAUAUUUUUGAUUUCAAGAGCUUUUUCUGAACCUUUUAAUUCUCAAGACUAGAAAUCUUAUUCAGAUAGUAAUUCAGUCAUCUUUAAAAAUCUCUACCUAUAUAUUCACUGCUGUGAUCCAGGAUAUCUCAUUCUUCCAUUUCUUCCUAAAUCUUCCUUUAGAGUUCAUUUAUUUUUAGUUUUGCCAAUAGUAAUUUUCUUCAAUAGGAAGUUUUUAUGUGCUGGAGAAUAAUCUGAAUGAUUUUUUUCCUUUCAGGAAAAUUUUGUUUUUCCUUCAAAAGACGGUGGAUAGAUUUGCCAUGAGAUGAUUCCUAGAGAAUAUGUGAGAGCAUGCUAACAUCAUCUGACACCUGUCAAACCAGCCAUCUUCCCCCAUGUCUCGUGCUAGAAAUUGAAGCCCAAAGGUGAGAGAACAGCAGAGAGACCAUCUGCAGAGGAAGAUGGGCAAUUGUGAAAAGAGGUCGAGAACAGAAUAGGGAAGAAGGAGCAGCGGAGCCAGGGGUCAGCGGAAGGACAGAGGCCGCGAGUUGGAGGUGUAGCCACUCAUCCCACACGCCACCAAUUGCAGGAGUUGCAUGUUGUGAGAUACAGAUACAAUGCAUUCCCUCGAGGGACAGAGUACAAAAAAGACAAAAUGCCAUGUUGUCUGAAGCUUCAACUGCACCACAGGCACUCUGCAAAAAUAUCUUCUUACAGCUACAAGGGCUUCACCCCCACUAUAUUUGACUGUGUUGGGAGCUCGAGCACAGGCACUUCACUGGUGUAAAUCCUCAUGGAAGACAUUGCAGCUAUGACAACUUACACCAGCACCUGAGCUUCCCUGGAAAUAACACAACAAAGCAGCAAUGUUAGUGACCAGUAGAGAAUUAUUAAAGGAACACAGAUAAUUGGAAGAAAAUAAAUGACCUGGGUAGAAGAGCUACUAUAAAAUGAAGUGCAGGCAUGGGACAUAGAGAUGCUCAGAACCUCCUGGAAAUAUGCUACUUUCCACAGCUUCAUUUUUCUGCACUUCCAGUGUUCAGCAUAAAAUCAUGAUGGUCUGAGGAUGAAGGAAGCAGAUGGGAAAAACAGAGGAAGAAAAGAAAAAGGAGACUUUCGUCUUCAUGUGUAAAUUUUCUGGAGUUUAAAGACACAUGACUUCGAUGUUACUGAGAUUGUGUCAUAAUCAUCAAACGGAGCCCGUGCCAAACAAACCAGAUGGAGCUUUCAAUCAACAAGCUGCAUUUAUUAUUGAUAUCUGUGGCUUAUUUGUUAUCCAUGCACCUUUUAACAGCAUAAGAUUUUUCAGAUUCUGCAUGAGAAGUUAAUAUCUGAGUAUGGGAGAGUCACCUCUGUGGAUUGAUCUGGUGGCCCAGUCCAGCACCACUCACUUCUCCACACCCAGCACUGUAAUCAGCAAGUCUCUACACAGAGCACAAGAGUUAAGCAAUCAGGAUGACUUAACUAUCAACUUGACCUUUGAGAUCCCUUCAGAACAGGAUUUCUAGGAUAUUAUCACAUUAUUCAAGUAUGGAUACAUUCUGCAGGCACCAGUUGUUCACUGAAGAUACCAAUCACAGAAGAAAGUGGUAUAGAAACUCAUAUUGAUGUUUUGCCUUUCCAAAUGAAGUGGAUGACAGCAAAGCAUAAUUCAAGGUCUGGUUGCCAACAUACUCAAUUAAGCAGAAUUUGGAGGAGGAGAGGAAGGAGGAGGGGAUGGCUGGAAACUCCCAGUCAUACUACAAAUGUCAGCUAUCUGCUGUCAGAGACCUGGUGACGUUGAACCAAACUGUGAAAUAUGUGUAAUUCUUCAAAUAUUGCUGAUGAUGUAGCACCAGAUUUUUUUUUCCAUGUGCAUGUGACUGCUUUUGACCAUGACAGGUUUUCAUAAAUCUGGUGUCAUUAUGGAACACAUGACUUGUGUCACCACUGCUACAACAAGAGAAAUCCAUCACAGAUCAAAGUGCCAGGAAAAGUCCUGUUCACAAUAUAAGCCCCACUUAAGCUUUCCAAAUACAGCUUGAGUGGAAUUUAAGUGGGCCAUAGGCCAUGUUUUUGCUCCUAUAGACAGGCAUGAAUUUUAGAACAUGAAAAUACAUUAAAAUACGAUGUACUUUCUCACGUAACUUGAAGCUAUCUGAUGCCACAAGGCCAUUCAGACCUAAAUAUCUUUGCCAGUAUUUUACCUUGAAUGCCAUGUUAAUUUUUGUAGAAUAUGAACCUAAACAAUAAAACUUUCCAGCAUUAUUUUAAUAUUAGACUUUCAACCUACAUACUAUAUUAGAUCUGUCUGAACAGAGCUGUCUUUAACCUUCUCAGACCACAAGAUUUUUGAGCAAAGAUCAUGCUUAUCUCCUUGUUUAUGUGUUGCCAAGACUGUUGCAGGCUACAAAAAAACUUUUCUACUGUAAGACAUUUGUUGAACUCAAAACCCCUCAUUUAUUAUAUAACCCUCUUAUUAUCUCAAUAUGUAGUGUGUGUAUAUAUAAAGAUAUAAAUAUAUA